AGAAAGGCAGCCUCUGAUAGGGAUGGACCAGAGUCUGCUAACGGGAGAUAUCCCGGGUUUCAUUGGGGGAGGCACCUUCUGGUUUCGCACAGGGGACGAAUUGAGGCCUCCCGGGGCGAGAGGGACAGCAAUCCGGGGUCUGAGCGGAGCUAUUCUAGGGUCGGUUGGAAGAGGCAAGCUGAAAUUCUUAGAAGGCCUAGUUGGGCCCGAGAGGACUGGAGAGAAGUCAGGAAUCCGCUGGAAAGAGGAAAACAUGUGAAUAUACCUGAAGGUGAUACCUGCAAGUUCCUACCCUUAGGAUCUAGUGUCCUACCUAAUGAGUGCAUCGAGGCAAUACGGUAAACGAGAGUACAAGAGACAGAAGGCCAAGGAUGCAGUCCAAGAAAGUUCUAAAAAUAUAUCAUCAGGUCCAACUUGGUAGUUGACCUAGCCAUGGAAAGCCUCAUUGGAUCCUCACUGGGUCAGACCAUAACUGGCAUUCUUAAAAACUCUUCCCAUCAUAAAGUAUCAAGAAGGAAAAUGUAGGAUAUAUACCUACCACUUCAAGAAAGCUCCUGUACCAGCCGACAGCCUAACAGAUUAGCUAGCUGCUUUGAUCGUCAAGCAGACAUACUCAAGCUCAGCACAGCGCAGGAAAAAUCUCUCUAUGAACAUUUUUCACAUUCUGUGUGUGACCUAUUAGCAGGUCAUGAAAUCAGUUCUAAAGAGGAAAAAUGAAGUGAAAUGUGCAGACACUUGUUCAAGUUCAGCUGCUGCACCUGGAAAUGUGAAUAGUGACCAUGUUGAGAGAAAUACUGACUGUAAUCUGCAAACUUCAACCUCAUUUGAGCCACAUUUCAAAAAGAAA